rfam:Dipodomys ordii contig_56766, whole genome shotgun sequence.
GGUGGCUCAGUGGUAGAGUGCUUGCCUUGUAUGCAAGAGGCCCUGGGUUCAAUUCCUCAGCACCA